UACGUAGGGUGCAAGCGUUAAUCGGAAUUACUGGGCGUAAAGCGUGCGCAGGCGGUUAUGCAAGACAGAUGUGAAAUCCCCGGGCUCAACCUGGGAACUGCAUCCGAGACUGCAUUGCUAGAGUAUGGGAGAGGAAAGCGGAAUUUCUGGUGUAGCAGUGAAAUGCGUAGAUAUCAGAAGGAACAUCAGUGGCGAAGGCGGCUUUCUGGACCAAUACUGACGAUCAGGUGCGAAAGCGUGGGGAGCAAACAGG
rnacentral:rRNA from 1 species